GACGAACGCCGGCGGCGUGCCUAAUACAUGCAAGUCGAGCGAAGUUUUUCUGGUGCUUGCACUAGAAACACUUAGCGGCGAACGGGUGAGUAACACGUAAAGAACCUGCCUCAUAGACUGGGACAACUAUUGGAAACGAUAGCUAAUACCGGAUAACAGUAUUUCUCGCAUGAGAGAUAUUUAAAAGUUGGUUAUGCUAACACUAUGAGAUGGCUUUGCGGUGCAUUAGCUAGUUGGUGGGGUAAAGGCCCACCAAGGCGACGAUGCAUAGCCGACCUGAGAGGGUGAUCGGCCACACUGGGACUGAGACACGGCCCAGACUCCUACGUGAGGCAGCAGUAGGGAAUCUUCCGCAAUGGGCGAAAGCCUGACGGAGCAACGCCGCGUGAGUGAAGAAGGAUUUCGGUUCGUAAAGCUCUGUUGUUAGGGAAGAAUGGAUAUGUAGUAACUAUACAUGUAAGAGACGGUACCUAACCAGAAAGCCACGGCUAACUACGUG
rnacentral:rRNA from 1 species